rnacentral:rRNA from 1 species
UACGAAGGUGGCAAGCGUUGUUCGGAUUUACUGGGCGUACAGGGAGCGUUAGGCGGUUGGGUAAGCCCUCCGUGAAAUCUCCGGGCCUAACCCGGAAAGUGCGGAGGGGACUGCUCGGCUAGAGGAUGGGAGAGGAGCGCGGAAUUCCCGGUGUAGCGGUGAAAUGCGUAGAGAUCGGGAGGAAGGCCGGUGGCGAAGGCGGCGCUCUGGAACAUUUCUGACGCUGAGGCUCGAAAGCGUGGGGAGCAAACAGG